rnacentral:rRNA from 1 species
UACAGAGGUCCCAAGCGUUGUUCGGAUUCAUUGGGCGUAAAGGGUGCGUAGGUGGCGCUGUAAGUCGGGUGUGAAAUUUCGGAGCUUAACUCCGAAACUGCAUUCGAUACUGCGGUGCUUGAGGACUGGAGAGGAGACUGGAAUUCAUGGUGUAGCAGUGAAAUGCGUAGAGAUCAUGAGGAAGACCAGUGGCGAAGGCGGGUCUCUGGACAGUUCCUGACACUGAGGCACGAAGGCCAGGGGAGCAAACGGGG